rnacentral:rRNA from 1 species
AUGGCAAUCGUUCCAGCAAUGCCGACAAGCACACCUUUGCACACCAGCACAAGCAACACUCGAGCAGAUGAAACAACCGCCGAUACUGAAGUGAAUUAUGAAACUGAUGAUGAGGCCCAAGGGGAUGAAGAACAUGGGCAAUCAGAAAUCAUGGUACCUCAGCCACCAUAUGUUGGGCAGAGAUUUGAUUCGUUUGAAGAUGCCAAGGAAUUAUACCAGAGAUAUGCAAUGUUCCAUGGGUUUGCGGUGAACACCGAAUACCAUAGGAAGAUUAAAAAACUAAUGAGUACAGCAGAGGUGAGAUGA